UCAAUCUCGUGCGGCUAUAUAUACCGCCGGUCCCUCUAAGAAGAUUUUCAUUUGACGCCGGUAGUGAAAGCGUUCCACCCGCCGAAGCCUUUGAUNNNGAUGCGCGCGGAGCGCGCAUUCGGGCCAAACAGCGGGCGGAGGCCCUCGUGAUACCGUUGUGCGUCUAUUUAAUAGGCUAGAGUUACGUUCGUUAC
rnacentral:rRNA from 1 species